AGAGUUUGAUCCUGGCUCAGAACGACGCUGGCGGCAUGCCUAACACAUGCAAGUCGAACGAGACCUUCGGGUCUAGUGGCGCACGGGUGCGUAACGCGUGGGAACCUGCCUUUAGGUUCGGAAUAACUCAGAGAAAUUUGAGCUAAUACCGGAUAAUGUCUUCGGACCAAAGAUUUAUCGCCUUUAGAUGGGCCCGCGUAAGAUUAGCUAGUUGGUGGGGUAAAGGCCUACCAAGGCGACGAUCUUUAGCUGGUCUGAGAGGAUGAUCAGCCACACUGGGACUGAGACACGGCCCAGACUCCUACGGGAGGCAGCAGUGGGGAAUAUUGGACAAUGGGCGAAAGCCUGAUCCAGCAAUGCCGCGUGAGUGAUGAAGGCCUUAGGGUUGUAAAGCUCUUUUACCCGAGAUGAUAAUGACAGUAUCGGGAGAAUAAGCUCCGGCUAACUCCGUG
rnacentral:rRNA from 1 species